rnacentral:rRNA from 1 species
UACGUAGGGGGCAAGCGUUGUCCGGAUUUAUUGGGCGUAAAGAGCGUGUAGGCGGCCUGGAAGGUCAGCUGAUGAAACUCGAGGCUCAACCUCGAGACGUCGGUUGAAACCACCUGGCUAGAGUCCGGAAGAGGAGAGUGGAAUUCCCGGUGUAGCGGUGAAAUGCGUAGAUAUCGGGGAGGAACAUCAGUGGCGAAGGCGGCUGCCUGGCCCAAUACUGACACUCAGGUG